AAAAAAAAAAAAAAAAGCUGCUGCUCCUUCAAAUUAUUCCCACGUGGGAAAACAUCUUUGAUGAUUAGAGCAAUAUACAAUUACAAGAAUUGAUAUGGUAGGUGUUCACAGCUGUGAAGAAAAACACAUUACAGCUUCAGGGCAGAUUGUUACUUCAUGCACCCUCUUUGAUGCUGACGAUAAUUUGAUAUCUGAAGUAUGGGAAUGGUGUGUCUGCUGAUUUUGCAGCUCAGAUCCUAGGUCUACAAAUUUUGAUUCCUGUCGUAACACGUUAAGAUUAUGUGCUGUUCUCUCAUGUAUUAAGCUAAGAAUCUUUCAGCUUCUCAAUUUUAUAGCGGCUCAAGUUUUCAGAGUACAGUAUGCCAUCAGGAGAAAGAAGUCGCUGGAGAGCUAGGAAAAAUCGUGACCAUUGAAAUCCUACAAGUGCAUACCAGCAGCCAGCCAAACCACAUCCUCUGCCGCUCACAAGCUGGCACCAAGAAAGUGACUGCUACUAAGCCAUGGGAAAUGGAAAGAAUAUUGAAAUAGAAUCUAGGGGACCCAAAAAUAGAUAUCUACCAUCAAUACAAGGGCACCGAAAGAAAGGCAUCCAGUCAUUGACAGGCUAAGAAAUUUGAGAUCCCGUCCAGCCAUUAGCGUCCCUUCAAGGCUAUGAGUGCUAGAUGUAAUAGCCAACGCCAUGAAGUAUGGUAAAAGCACUUUGUGCAUCUCCCGUACAACAUUUUGAUCAGGUGUAAAGAGAUUUGGGUACAACCAAGGAACACAUGUUCCAAUCACACCUAAAACCAAUCCAAGUGUAGCUCCAACCAUCACUAGUGACUUUAGUAACGUCCGAGCCUUUGCCAAACUUCGAUUGACACCGUAUAUCAACUCAGGCAUAAAUGACUGUGCAGUUUGAGAAAGAGGCUCA
rnacentral:misc_RNA from 1 species